UACAGAGGGUGCGAGCGUUAAUCGGAAUUACUGGGCGUAAAGCGCGCGUAGGCGGCUUUGCAAGUCGGGUGUGAAAUCCCCAGGCUUAACCUGGGAACUGCAUUCGAGACUGCAUUGCUAGAGUAUGGGAGAGGGAAGUGGAAUUUCCGGUGUAGCGGUGAAAUGCGUAGAUAUCAGGAAGAACACCCGUGGCGAAGGCGGCUCCCUGGGACGUGACUGACGCUGAGACGCGAAAGCGUGGGGAGCAAACAGG
rnacentral:rRNA from 1 species